UGAGUUAUGGGUUGACUCAACCCA
rnacentral:siRNA from 1 species